GGAAACAGAUGCUAAUACCAGAUAAAAGCUACUUUCGCAUGAAAGAAGUUUAAAAGGCGGCGUAAGCUGUCGCUAAAGGGAUGGACCUGCGAUGCAUUAGCUAGUUGGUAAGGUAACGGCCUACCAAGGCGAUGAUGCAUAGCCCGAGUUGAGAGACUGAUCGGCCACAUUGGGACUGAGACACGGCCCAAACUCCUACGGGAGGCAGCAGUAGGGAAUCUUCCACAAUGGACGCAAGUCUGAUGGAGCAACGCCGCGUGAGUGAAGAAGGGUUUCGGCUCGUAAAGCUCUGUUGUUGGUGAAGAAGGACAGGGGGUAGUAACUGACCUUUGUUUGACGGUAAUCAAUUAGAAAGUCACGGCUAACUACGUGCCAGCAGCCGCGGUAAU
rnacentral:rRNA from 1 species